UACACGUAUGGACGUCAUGUUCGUCACGUCUUUAUGGUAAUACGGAUUGAAGAUUUUCUCUGCUCUUUGGCCACACUCCAUGGGUUUCAAAGUUGCAUCCAGGGGAUGGAAUCUUGACUCCUUGCAUUUCAGUUCUAUCAUUAGUAAUUGGACUAAGGAAAAUUGAUGCAGGUCUAAGGGUAAAGAAGAAUGGCCGAGAGCAGAAUUUCAGUGCGGACUGGGAGCGCUGAUAUCUGGCAGCACAUCAUUUCCCACCAUUUAAUGGUUUUUGGUGGGAAUCUAUAAUCAAUUCAAAAUUUGAAUUUGAAAAACACAAUUUAUAAAAUCAUGUUACGAUUCCCACCCAUGAUUGUUGGAUGGUGGCAAAUAUGUGCCCACUAAAUCUUCAUGCACACGAGGUGCACAUAAUCUUUUCUUCUCCUCUAUAUGACAGGUAUAUUGACAUGAUGAUAAUAACAUGGAAAACAUGGGAAUUCAUGGAUUGUUGGAUCCAUUGAAGGCUUUUGGAUACAUUGCAGAAGCCUUGGAGAUGCUAUUGAUGUCCAUGGCAAAAGAUGGCACUGGGGCUCUUAGCUCAAUGGGAAAUGAUGCUCCUUUGGCUGUGAUGUCCAACAGAGAGAAACUUACAUUUGAGUAUUUCAAGCAGAUGUUUGCUCAGGUUACAAACCAACCGAUUGAUCCAAUCCGAGAGAAAAUAGUCACGUAGAAGGGGACCUUACUAAAACAGUUCAUGUGGAAGGCUAUGUGGCAGUUUGUUUGUUUUGAAAACUUUAAAUAGACCAUUAAUUGUUUUGUUGGUAUUGUGCUGAUUGUUGUCUUGACGGAUGUUAAAUGGGUGAAACACGCACAGGUUCAAUCAUUGGUUGAUUAUAAUAUUGUUAGCUUUUGUUGAUAGAAACUAAA